AGUUCCUUCGGGAGCGAGUACAGUGGCGGACGGGUGAGUAACGCAUGGGAAUCUGCCCAGUAGUGGGGAAUAACCCGGGGAAACUCGGGCUAAUACCGCAUACGUCCUACGGGAGAAAGCGGGGGAUCUUCGGACCUCGCGCUAUUGGAUGAGCCCAUGUCAGAUUAGCUUGUUGGUAGGGUAAUGGCCUACCAAGGCGACGAUCUGUAGCUGGUCUGAGAGGAUGAUCAGCCACACUGGGACUGAGACACGGCCCAGACUCCUACGGGAGGCAGCAGUGGGGAAUAUUGGACAAUGGGCGCAAGCCUGAUCCAGCAAUGCCGCGUGUGUGAAGAAGGCCUGCGGGUUGUAAAGCACUUUCAUCAGGGACGAAAAACCCAAGGGUAAUACCUUUGGGCCUUGACUUAACCUGAACAAGAAGCACCGGCUAACUCCGUGCCAGCAGCCGCGGUAAUACGGGGGGUGCAAGCGUUAAUCGGAAUUACUGGGCGUAAAGCGCACGUAGGAGGUUGAAUCAGUCAGAUGUGAAAGCCCCGGGCUCAACCUGGGAAUUGCAUUUGAUACUGUUCGGCUAGAGUCUGGCAGAGGAAAGCGGAAUUCCGGGUGUAGCGGUGGAAUGCGUAGAUAUCCGGAAGAACACCAGUGGCGAAGGCGGCUUUCUGGGCCAAGACUGACUCUGAGGUGCGAAAGCGUGGGGAGCGAACAGGAUUAGAUACCCUGGUAGUCCACGCCGUAAACGAUGUCAACUAGCCGUUGGAUCCGCUUGAGGAUCAAGUGGCGUAGCUAACGCGAUAAGUUGACCGCCUGGGGAGUACGGCCGCAAGGUUUGAAACUCA
rnacentral:rRNA from 1 species